GAUGCACUAGACCUGACCAGAUAUGGCUAGAUAUUUAUUUAUAUUUUUCGUAUUUGGCGUUUGGAAAUCAAUUGUGGCAACAACCCCAUAUAAAGUCCCCCGAUGUCCUGAGAUACAAACUUACAAAUGUUCAGCUUUAUUUACGAAUAAAUGUGGCCAUUUGAAUUAUUGUCCGAAAGGUCAAGUUUGCUGUCCAUUUGCUUCAUCAACAGGAUGUGGCAAGAUGUGUAUUAAUAUCGGUGCUCCACCGCCGCCACCACCACCACCAC